rnacentral:tRNA from 1 species
CACACCUUCCCAAGAGUA